rnacentral:tRNA from 3 species
GGAGAGAUGGCAGAGCGGCUAAAUGCGUCGGAUUGUAAAUCCGAUCCUUCGGGUACGGUGGUUCGAAUCCACCUCUCUCCACCA